AGUUUAACUACUCACAUUAAUUAGAGUUAACAAGCUAGCUUUGCAGCAGCCUCUCGGCAUGUUUCAGUAACCACCAUAUGAGCUGUAAUAUCCAAGAAUGUUCUUCAAUACUCAGCGUAUCUCCAUCAAAUAAUUAACCCUUUUGACGAAACUCUAUGCACUCACGUGAUUCAGAGCAUAUACACUAUGGCUCACAUUUCUUGGUGUGUGUGGGUAAGUCAACACUGACCAUACCAACAACUGGAUGACUCCUCCAAAAUAAGGAUAGAACUUGAGUUUAAAUCUAACAGACUUUAUUAUGUUAAAAACAAACCAUAAAUUUGCAGAAACUGGUCUUACCUAGUGAACCAGGUUUCCUCAGCCUGCUAUAAAAUCCACCCAGGUCUUUUAUAUCCUUGACGUUCAGAUCAGAAGGGCCUAUGUAGGGGGUUAGGUUUUCUCUAAAUGUUCUAAGGGAAUUCUGAUUAGUUUUGGAACCGUGAAACAAAUGCUAAUUUACCCCAAAGCUUUCUCUUUGAAGCCAGGAUACUAAUGCAGAACUUCCCUGAGGUAGUGAUGAUCUGGUAAUUCUUGUAGAAAGCAAUAACGGAAUUUUACUAGGAACAUUAGUACAUUUAGAUAACUUAAAUAGAUAGCAGUAUAAUAUUCAGUAGAUUUAUG